UACGAAGGGGGCUAGCGUUGCUCGGAAUCACUGGGCGUAAAGCGCACGUAGGCGGAUUGUUAAGUCAGGGGUGAAAUCCUGGAGCUCAACUCCAGAACUGCCUUUGAUACUGACGGUCUUGAGUUCGGGAGAGGUGAGUGGGACUGCGAGUGUAGAGGUGAAAUUCGUAGAUAUUCGCAAGAACACCAGUGGCGAAGGCGGCUCACUGGCCCGAUACUGACGCUGAGGUGCGAAAGCGUGGGGAGCAAACAGG
rnacentral:rRNA from 1 species